CAUCAGACGCCAAAUCCCAAACCCUCACUCUCUCUCUUCUUUAGACCCCAAAUCCCAAACCCAAACCCCAACCGACAUAACAAUGAGUGAGAAGGAGAAGAUGGACAAAGAAAAUACACACAGACAGAGCUCUGAACCAGAAGAAAAGAACAAAGAAAGAGAAGUAACGACGGAGAGAGAAGAUGGCUGAAAGGAGACGGAAGAGACGAACGCACGCACGCAAAGAACACUUCCACCCUUCAACCAGGUUUGUAGAUUCAAACUAGGGUUUUGAUUUGGGAAUUUUCACUAAAAAAUCAAGGUUUUGAUUGAGCAAUUCCAAAAUUAUGUAAAAUUAGUGAACCUUAAGGAACUCUAGUUUAACAAAAAAUUUGGUAAUGUUAUUAAUUUUCACGAGUAUCCAAAACACUGCGCACUGCAAACACUCGUACAGCCCUAAAAGGGUCGCCGUUCGACCGUGAUUGUAAGCUCUGAGCUCUGGUCAUGGCUUCAAAGAAGAAACCAAACAAGGCAAAGCGACCCAGACAAGGCUUUGAAUAGCUCGACCGCUUCGAUUCGCUUCCAUGGAACUCUUCUCUCUCCGAAAACGACGACCCUUUCUUUAUCUCCGUUGGCUCUAGCGAACUCGAGGGAGGUUUUCUAUCGCUUGAGGAGAUUGAUGAAUCUGAGUAUGGUUUGGAAAUUCCUAAACCUGAGAGAGAAAACAAGAAAGAAAGGACUAAAGAAAAUAAAAAUGAGA